AGGAUGAACGCUAGCGGUGUGCCUAGAGCAUGCAAGUCGAACGAAGUCUACUCUAUAGCAAUAUAGAAUAGACUUAGUGGCGAACGGGUGAGUAAUGUAUAGAUAACUUACCUUUAACAUGAGGAUAGCUUAUUGAAAAGUAGGGUAAUACUCAAUAUGGUUUGAAACUGAAAUGUUUUAAAUUAAAGCUCAAAAGGCGGUUAGAGAAAGGUCUAUAUUCUAUCAGCUUGUUGGUAAGGUAAUUGCUUACCAAGGCUAUGACGGAUAGCUGGUCUGAGAGGAUGGUCAGCCACAUUGGGACUGCGACACGGCCCAAACUCCUACGGGCGGCAGC
rnacentral:rRNA from 1 species